rnacentral:rRNA from 1 species
GCACUUUAAGUUGGGAGGAAGGGCAUUUACCUAAUACGUAAGUGUUUUGACGUUACCGACAGAAUAAGCACCGGCUAACUCUGUGCCAGCAGCCGCGGUAAUACAGAGGGUGCAAGCGUUAAUCGGAAUUACUGGGCGUAAAGCGCGCGUAGGUGGUUCGUUAAGUUGGAUGUGAAAUCCCCGGGCUCAACCUGGGAACUGCAUUCAAAACUGUCGAGCUAGAGUAUGGUAGAGGGUGGUGGAAUUUCCUGUGUAGCGGUGAAAUGCGUAGAUAUAGGAAGGAACACCAGUGGCGAAGGCGACCACCUGGACUGAUACUGACACUGAGGUGCGAAAGCGUGGGGAGC